rnacentral:rRNA from 1 species
GACGAACCGAGCGAACGUUGUUCGGAAUCACUGGGCUUAAAGGGCGCGUAGGCGGGUGCUCAAGUCCGUGGUGAAAUCCUCCGGCUCAACCGGAGAACUGCCUCGGAUACUGGGCGUCUCGAGUGUGGUAGGGUAUGCGGAACUAUCGGUGGAGCGGUGAAAUGCGUUGAUAUCUGGAGGAACACCAGUGGCGAAGGCGGCAUCCUGGACCGGUAUUGACGCUGAGGCGCGAAAGCUAGGGUAGCAAACGGG